GGAUUUCUUCUUUAUUUAAAAGAAUUAAAAAUAUAAGUAUAUAAGUAAGCUGUUAUGGUACCAGGUCCUAUGCGUUUCGUCCAGGUGGACUUCCUCAGGGACCUCUUGGUAUUCAAAGAUGUAACAGCAAUAAAACAAAUAAAAGUAAGCAAUUGACAAACUGGUGGCUAAACAUUUUCUUGCAUUUAACCACAGAUUACCAACUCUUAAGUUUAUUGCCAUUGAUGUGAUACCAACCCUAACGAGAGGAGGAGACCGGUCAAGAUUAUUGCUCCAGAAAGAGACCUUUUGGAUUAAACAAUUGGACAAUAUACAACCUAAGGGGUUAAAUUAGUAUAUUUCGUUCAGUUCAGAGUCCAUUUUUUCAAUUUAUGACUUUUUCCUUGCUUAUGGUUUAUUGUUCACUGAUUUUCAUGUAGGUUGUGUAGUUCAGUUUUUUCUCUUAUAGCUAGGUAAUGUUUAGUCUC